GCGGUGGAAGUAACAAGUGUUUGGUGACAAAUUACACAUGCUCUGCCUCUGCUUUGAUAAAGGUAAAUGUAAAAUGGAUGGGUGACUAUUCUGUCACUACAAUCAUACUUUUAAUAAUUGAUUGAUUGAUUGGAUAUUCAAUAUAUAAAUUAUGUAUUAUAUUUUAGAAAAAUUGACGUACAACCAUUUUGUGAUAAUUUUUCGACAACUCUUCUAUUAAUACUCACAUUAAGUUUUUAUUUUCUCUCUUUCUUUUUCUCUCUCCAUUAUUUUUUACCAAUAAAAAGAGAAAAAAAAAUUUGUCAUGAUAAUUGUCAAAAAUGAUUGUUCAAAUAUCACUGCUCUAAAUUUUAUUCUCAAUCUUUUUCUUUGGAUAAAUGUACACAUCAUCGAUCAAAUCUUUUUCUUUCAAAUAUUGAUGCAAUCAUUUAGGGCUUGUUUGUUUCAAGAGAAAGUGGAGGGAUGGAAGCCUAUGAGAUGGAAAGUUUUUUGGGAUGUAGGCUUUCCAUCGUUUGGUUUCCAUAGAUUGAGGAAGGAAAGAUUGAUUUGAGUGGGACCCAUGCUCAGAAAACUUUCCGCAUCAUUAUGGGAAGAAAGUUAGGAACUUGCAUCUUUUUAAGCAAAAUGACGUAUAUACCCCUGCUUUAUAGACAUAUUUGUGAGGGAGAUAGGUAUCAAUAAUAUAUAUAUAAAAUAAUGUUUUUUAUGCCACGUGUCACUUUCAUGUUUAUUCGCAAUAUUUUUAUUAUUUUUCUAAUUUUUCAAAACCAAUAUUUAAUUUGGCAUAAAUAUCUCAACAAACUUUUGAUCUUAUCUAUUAAAUAUUUUACUUAAAUUUUUUUAUUGAAUUCCUAAUAUUUUAUGUAACAUAAAUAUAUCAACAAAUUACAUACGAUACCCUUCAACUAUAAAUCAACAAUCAAUCAAUCAAUAAUAUAUAUAUAUAAACUAAGGUUUUUUAUGCCACGUGUCACUUUCACAUUUAUUCGCAUUAUUUUUAUUAUUUUUCUAUUUUUUAAAAUCAAUAUUUGAUUUGCCAUAAAUAUCUCAACAAAUUUUUUAUCUUAUCUAUUAAAUAUUUUACUUAACUUUUUCAUUGAAUUCCUAAUAUUUUAUGUAACAGAAAUAUCUCAACAGAAAUAACACAAAUUUCGAAAAGUUAAUUUUAUUCUAUAUGUGUUAAUAUUUUUACUAAAUUCAAUUAAUUUUAUCUGUUUGUGCAUCUAUAAAUUUACGAGUAUUUAUAAUAUGGUAUAUUUUAUUAUAUUUGUGUGUAUUUAUUAAGAUAUUCAUCAUAUACAAAUCCGUGAUAAAUUUUAUUUGCGGGUAUCAUACAUACAAUUUUUUUAUCUUCUUGAAUAUGUCUAACCUGGACAACGCCGGAUAAAUACACUAGUUUGGUUUAACGUUUGUGUUUCUUUAUUUUUUUCAUUUUUAUGUUUUUAAUAGUUGUAUUUUUAUUUUCUUUCAAAAAGAAAUUUCUAUUUUAUUUUGUAUCGUCAGAGAUUUUUUUACCAAUACGGCGCCACUUUAUUUACGAAUAUGUUGCCCCUUAUACUUUUAAUUUGUAGUAUCUCAUUUUAAUUUUUUAAUCCAGGGAUAUAUGUGUCAUUUUCUAAAUGCACUUAUAUCUUUCCUUUCACUUUCUACUCACAUUCAUUCAUACCAAACAACUAAAAUAAUUAUCAUACUUUCCAUUUACUUUCUACUCACAUUCAUUCCUUAACCAAUCUUUCCUCUUACUUUCUUUCCUUAUACUUUCUUUUCUCAUCCAAACAAUGCCUUAAAGACAAAUUUGAUGAUGAUACACACAAAAAUUUUAUGAUUGAUUGGAUAUUCAAUAUAUAAAUUAUGUGUUACUCCCUCCGUCCCUAAUUAUAAGACCCUUUUGAGAAAAUUUUUUGUCCUUUUUUAUAAGACCCCUUUGCUAUUUCCAACUACAUUAAUAUUUCUUUACAUGCAUGCCCCUAUUUAUUAUACAUAAUUUUCUUCAAUCAGCAAUAAAUAUCAUAUUGAAAACAUAAACUAAUUCUCUCUUAAAGGAUAAAAUUGUAAAAACAAUAGUAAUUACAAACAUAUUUAAUACAAAUAUUCACUAUCUUAAUUCCCGUUAUUUUUUCAAAAGGGUCCUAUAAUUAGGGACGGAGGGAGUAUUUUUUAAGAGAAAAAUUGUUUACUAUCACCUAUAAUUAUAAUAAAUAAAUUUUAUUUAUCAAAAACGUCGACGAAAUAAAAUUUUAUUUUUCUGAAUGAAAUGAUGUUUUUUCUUAUGAAAUAAUAUUUUCUAAAAUAUAAAUAUCAACAAACAACUCUUUAUUUCAUAAUAAUAACAAUUAAUUUAUAGAAUUUUGAAGUAAGAAUACUGGUACACUUUAAUUUGCAGAUGUACCGUAGAAGUUUCCUCAUUUAAAUAUUAAAACAUCAACCAACAAAAGUUUUAUUUCUUUAGAACAAUAGUUUUCUACGACGUGACGAAUUAAAUCUUGAAUUUUAAGUAAAGUGGAUGUUUAUAUUUAUUUGAUUGUGCCUCAAACAUGAAUAGCUAUUGUGGACGGAACCUCUAAAUGGUGUUAAAUGGAUGAUAUGUGUACAAAAAUAACUUCUCUUUAAUAUAUGACUAAAAAAUAGUUGUCUUUAAUUUGUGUACUUUAUUUUACGGAAAUAAACUUAACUCGUUUCAUUCAUCAAACUAUUUUUAAUAUAUGGUCAAAUAUAGGUAAAUUAUUGGCAAUUAGCAAUAGAUGACUAGAGCCUAUACUGACAUGCGAAGCGCUCUCUAACUAAUUCAUUAGUCAUGACCCUGUGAUAUUCUUCAUAUCCUGAUCACUAAUUUGCACCAAAUUUGUAACAAAUGCCUUAUUUAUUUAUACAAUAUUCUUCGUAUAAAGAUACACUAUCUCGUUCGGUUGAACCUUUUAAUUCUCAUUAAUUCUCAUGAACUCUCAAUUACUUGAAUGAUUGAGUCAUUGUUUGCAAAUCACCCUCUUUGGUGGAUCAAUGUUAUCUUCUACCACAAAUCAGCAGCUCCGACUAUCGUUCACAAGUCUUCUCUAAAUCACACAAUUGUUGAUAUGUGGUUGAUUGACAACAUCCUAAAUAAUCAAACUAAUGUGACCCGGUCAAAAAUAUGAGAAAACAAAUUGUGAUGUAUUUUUAUUUUAUUUUUAACGAUAUGUGAUAUAUAAGUUGAUUCACUCCUUCACAUUUUUCUCAUUUCCUCUCUUAACUCUUUGGCCUCUCUUAAUCUCACUCGCUUGAAUAUUUCUUUUUUGAGUUAAUUAAGUUUUUGGUCCCUAUAAAUAUCUGCAGUUUUGUUUUUAAUCUCUAUAAAAAUAAAUCACAUUUCUUAGUCCUUACAAAAUUUUUCGUUAGUGUUUUUAGUUUCUGUAAAAUUAAAAUUUGUUUAGUUAUAUGAUUAAUACCAGUAAUUAAUUAAUCCUAAAUGGGAAAAAAGGGCAAAAGGCAGUUUUACUUCUUUUUUCUAUAGUAGGUUUUAUUUUUCUUGUUUUGAGUCUUUUUUGAAAUUAGGUCGACGACAGUUAAACAAAUAAAAAAAUUAUGAUUAGGGUCUCAGGGGAGAAUAUUCUUAUCUUCGUUGAUUUGAUAGCCAUUAGAAUGACACAACAAAGUCUUUCAAAUAUACAUUCAGAAAUCAGAACAUCUUAAAGAAAAUUAAAUUUAUAAAAACAAUAUAUUAUACUUUUUUUGUCGAAAACAAAAUAUUAUAGUACUCAAGAUGUUCGUUAAAAAAAAUGUUGGUUAAAAGAAAAUUACACUGGGUUUCAAUGACGGAUGAGGCAAUAUUAACACGAAGAGUGAUAUUUGUACAACCUUUCUGACAACCAUUUUUUCUCUAUUUUUAUUGGACAAAAAUAAUAGAGAGAGAAAAAAAAACUAUAUGAAUAUGAGAGAGAAAAUUGUUUCAAAAGUUAUAAAAAAAUAAUUGUACAAAUAUCAUUUGUUAACACUAUAUAUCAACAAGGGUUAACCGUAUUCUACCUUUUAUAGUUAUUUGUUUCUCUUUUUUAUUUAUUUAAUUAAGUGGUUAUCCACGUAUAUUUGCGACUUUUUUUUUUGUUUUUUUAAUUUUUCAUCGUUUUAUGCGACGUUUGUAGGAUUUUUCAUCUUACUACUGUGCUUGUUGGGUCAUAUUGACCAAUUCACUUCAAAUCAUAGCAUAUCAUGUCAUAAUUUAAUUUGUUUUUAUUGUUGUGAGCUAGCAGAAUUUUGUGUCUGGUGUGCUGUCUAGCUAGCAAUGGUUCAGUCGUCAGUAUUGCUCCAGUCUGUUCCAUGUUACAUCUACGUAUUUUUCAUUGUAUUAUUAUUUUUAAGAUUUUAUCACCCACACACAAGCAGAGAAUGAGAAAGGGGACGAUUAUGAUAAUGAAAAUGUUAAUGAGUAUCUUCAAAAUACUAUUUAAGAUUUUUAAUUAAUAAUUUUUUUAAAAUUUUUUAUGUAAUGAAUACAUUAAAAAUUGCAAUAUUUAAUUUUCUUAUGAAUUUUUUUUUCAUUGACUCAGAAACACCGGUUAACUAGAUCUUAUGAUAAUUAGUUAAUUUAUUUUUCUAUGAUAGACGAACAUUUCACAACCAUAUACACAACACCAAUAAAUACAAUGCAAAAUGAUAUAGGAAGGACCAAGACGUGUACCAAUAAAUUAAUGGGAAGUAGGAACAAUUUGAUUAAAUUAGAUGUCCCCUCUUCUACGUAUCAAAAUAAAACCAGAGGCAAUGGGAAAAACAUGUGGCACCAAAACCAUGGGAAUUACACGACAAAUUAACAAGAUAUAGGUCUCUUUCUAUCAUUUCUCUUCAUCCAAUUAUCCUACACUUCUUACAACAUUUCCAUGCUGUCCUUAUCAUUAUUUCAUCUCUAUACACGUGUUUAACACGAGUGGAAAAAGGAUUCCUUCACCAAUGAUAUUCUUAUUUAUUUAUCACGUAGAAGCUUGACUCUUAAGAAAUAAACGGGUGAGAGUACUGUUUUACGAAUACAAUAUAGAAAACAAAGUGCAUCAUGGUAUUUGAAGGUGGAAAUUGAUGAAAAUACAAGUAUUAAUAAAUCGAUCCAUGGUUCAAAAGAAAUAAAAAACUCUCAUCUUGAUUAACCAAGCCAAGCAAAAUUCGCCAGAGAGUGGGUUGAGGCAGGGAAUCCUCUCUCCUUUUAUGUUUUUGUUUACAAAGUGGGUGAUAACCAAUGUUUUAAAAACCAGACCGACCGGUUCAACCAUGAACCGUAUCAAGGUCCGGUCUGAACAGCCUUACAAAACCGCUAGUCUCAAAAACCGGGGGGAAAACCAGAUAAACCGGUUUGAAUCGGUAAAAACUGGGAAAACCGGUCCAAGUUAUGUCUAACCAGCCGGUCCACCUUCUAGGACGCGAACCCCAGCGCGCCUCCCUCUACUCUGCGGCAGCUCUGCCGUCAACAACCAUGAUUUAGCGGUUCUGAUUGAGUUCUCACCAACAUGAACUUGAGAGAAAGAUUAGAUUGGUUUGUUUAAUAUUUGAGUUGGAUAGAGAGGAGGAGAUUUGAAAUUUGUAACAGAAGACACAUCGUUAGAGGGAAGACUCUCAGACUCAGUGCUGCUUUUUGUUUCUUUAUUUACUUUUCAACCAAUUUGAUGAAAAUACACUUACAUCUGAAACAUACAUGAAUCGAAAAGUCUAUUGUAAUUUACCCAAUGAAAUAAUACUUACAUUGGAAACAUAGGUUCGGUACGCGUGUUUUCAAUGUAAAGUCAAGGGAAAGCCAAAGAGAAAAACUCAAUCCCCUUCACCAUGCAGAUUCAAAUGUUUUUAUUCAAUUCACUUCUUCAUCUUCUUUAACUUCCAUACCCCAAUUUCAAAGCCACCAUUUUGCUUUCUUGCAUUUACAACAUUGAAGUCACCGAUUCCCAUCUCUAGAUACUCGAUUCCAAUAUCCUCCCUUCUCUCUUAUUUACAAGUUUCUGCUCCCAAUUCAGCAGCAUUCAAGCCGCAAUUUUUUUUUUCUGUAUCCAUGCAUGCAAAAAAACUCCACGUUUUUUUCUCUUAACAGAAAUCGCCACAAGAUCCAUCAAAGUUAAGUUUUACAAACUACUUCAAUUUCACUUCCGCUUCACAUCUUUCAUGCCAAAUGCUUUGUCUAAUUUUUCUAAUACCAACAACAUGGUUUGACUUCCCAUUUUUAUAUCAUUGAACUGAAAGCUAUGUUUACUAUUUUUAUUAUAACGUGAUAAGCAAGAGUUGGACUCAUUAGAUUUUACAUUUUUAUCAUGAAAUUUCGUUAUUUUUGAAGAGAAAAGAUUAAUACUUUUGCAUUUUUGAAGUCCCUGUAUCUUUCCCAUUUUGUUACGCUCACUCAUGCACCUUAUAAAACCUAUUUUAUACUUUGUAAAUGUCCUUUUUUCCUUUAGCAAUUAGCUGAUUUUAACUUUUAACAUGGAUAUCAAGACCAUUUCAGGAGAUAAAAAUGACGCUAAAGUUAUUUUAUAGGUUUCAGAUUUACUGAAUCAAUGUCGAUGAUGGUGUAGUCAAAACAAAUGAUUGUUCAAAACAGCCGCAACCCAAAUUAUGUCAAGUUUUAAUGGCGAGCACAUCAUCUAACCAAGUGAACUCACAACUUUGUCAAAAGAUAGAUUCCUAUCAAUCGAUUCCGACAAAGAUUCUCCUACAAAGAGAUGGCGGUCGGAGAUCGGAGACUGGGAGGAGAUGGCGACGACAGAGAGAUGGAGAGAGAAGAGAUAAAUAUUUGAAACGUGUAACAAAGGUGUAACCAAGUUUUAGUUUUAUGAUCAAUUGUCUCUUUCUCACCAUUUCUCCAUGUGAUUAUAUUAAAAGGAAUGUUUUUAUGGGACACACUUGUGAUUUUUUACUAAUGAUAAUAAAGGGAGGUGAAUGAUUUUCAUUGUUUGACAGGCUUUAGGAAAACUAUCCAAAAAUUAUUUGCAUUUAACCAUUUUUUAACAAAGGUGUAACCACAUUUUAUUUUCAUGACCAAAUUGUCUCUUUAUCACUAUUUCUCCACACGAUUUUAGUGAAUGGAAUAUAUUUGAGGCACACUUGUGGUUUUUGAGUCAUGAUAAUAAAGUGAGGCGAAUGAUCUUCAAUAUUUUCAAUGUUUGACAAGUUUUAGGCAUACUGACCAAAAAGGAGUUGCACUUAAC
rnacentral:lncRNA from 1 species